CUACCAAAAGCGAAAGCAGUUGGUUAGGCUAUACCCUUUGUGCCGCGCUCACGUAUACUUAUACACGCACACAUAUACGCAUAUAUAACGUAUACGCAGCGCUCGACACUUUACAAUGAAGAACGAAGGUUGGGGGAUCAAAGAGGAUCAGAUACCCUCGUCGUCCCAUUAGUUACAUCAAACUAUGGGCUCUCAAUUGCUCUCAGUUUAACUGUUACGAGUAAUUACUUAUAUGACUCUCAUACCCUGACCUGCAAACCUGUUAUGACUUGAGCCUCCCCGCUCGUCACAACUAACCUGUAUCUGGUCUCGAUAUAGACAUAUAUACUUCUCGCUUAACUAUAAAAUAAAGUCGUAUCGCUCGCAGAGACCUUCUCGGUCCGCAUUGAUACAAGAUUUUAUGAACUUUGCGCUCAGUAAUAAUACGGUGAGAUGUAAGCAUCGUGAGUGUAUGUGUAUUCGGUACGUCGCGUCUUCCGGACACGGCACCGGCACUGCGCUUAAUCUAUGAUGUGAAGCACGUGUUAGGUACGCGCUUACUGCAGAAAU
rnacentral:rRNA from 1 species